GUGUAGGAUAGGUGGGAGACUUUGAAACCGCGUCGCUAGAUGUGGUGGAGUCGUCCUUGAAAUACCACCCUUGUAGUUUUGAUGUUCUAACGUUGGUCCCUGAAUCGGGAUUACGGACAGUGCCUGGUGGGUAGUUUGACUGGGGCGGUCUCCUCCCAAAGAGUAACGGAGGAGCACGAAGGUGGGCUAAACACGGUUGGACAUCGUGUGGUUAGUGCAAUGGCAUAAGCCCGCUUGACUGCGAGAAUGACAAUUCGAGCAGGUGCGAAAGCAGGUCAUAGUGAUCCGGUGGUUCUGAAUGGAAGGGCCAUCGCUCAACGGAUAAAAGGUACUCCGGGGAUAACAGGCUGAUACCGCCCAAGAGUUCAUAUCGACGGCGGUGUUUGGCACCUCGAUGUCGGCUCAUCACAUCCUGGGGCUGAAGUCGGUCCCAAGGGUAUGGCUGUUCGCCAUUUAAAGUGGUACGCGAGCUGGGUUUAGAACGUCGUGAGACAGUUCGGUCCCUAUCUGCCGUGGGCGUUGGAAAAUUGAAAGGGGCUGCUCCUAGUACGAGAGGACCGGAGUGGACGAACCUCUGGUGUUCGGGUUGUCAUGCCAAUGGCAUUGCCCGGUAGCUAAGUUCGGAAUCGAUAACCGCUGAAAGCAUCUAAGCGGGAAGCGAGCCUUGAGAUGAGUUUUCCCUGGCACUAUAAGUGUCCUAAAGGGUUGUCGUAGACUACGAACGUUGAUAGGCAGGGUGUGUAAGUGCUGCGAGGCAUUGAGCUAACCUGUACUAAUUGCCCGUGAGGCUUAACCAUACAACACCCAAGGGGUUU
rnacentral:rRNA from 1 species